GACAGAGGCCUCGAGCGUUAGGCGGAAUCACUGGGCUUAAAGCGUGUGUAGGCGGAUCGUUAAGUGCCUUGUGAAAUCCCACGGCUUAACUGUGGAACGGCUGGGCAUACUGGCGGUCUUGAGCCAUCUAGGGGCGACUGGAACAAACGGUGGAGCGGUGAAAUGCGUAGAUAUCGGGAAGAACACCCGUGGCGAAGGCGGUUCUCUGGGACGGUACUGACGCUGAGACGCGAAAGCGUGGGGAGCGAACAGG
rnacentral:rRNA from 1 species